rnacentral:misc_RNA from 1 species
AACUUUUGGCAAUGGAUCUCUUAGUUCUCGCAUCGAUGAAGAACGCAGCGAAACGCGAUAGGUAAUGUGAAUUGCAGAAUUCCGUGAAUCAUCGAAUCUUUGAACGCACAUUGCGCCUUCUGGUAUUCCGGUAGGCAUGCCUGUUUGAGCGUCAGCAAACACUCUCAGCGGUGGGUAUUUUCCUAAAAGCAAUUUACCCGCCCGCUGGUCUUGGGCUUUUGGAUGCCGGCGGUGACCUCGGUCCCGGCCCGCGCCGGCCCUAAACUUGCUGCACGUCCGUGAGCCCCUUCCCGCUUGGUCAAUGGAGUGGUGUUACAAUCUUCCAUCGUACCCUUCCGGAGACCGCCCCGCGGCGUUAAACCCCGAUGUCCCUCUGCGGACUGAAGUUUUGACCUCAAAUCAGACAAGGAUACCCGCUGAAUUUAAGCAUAUCAAUAAGCGGAGGCU